AACCACACACGUAGACUUCCUCCCCAUCUAACUUGGUUUGGCUCUUUAUUUGUAGAUGAACAAGCAGAUCAAUUCCAUAUUGGGGAGAACUCUAUAGCCUGUGCUUGGCUGAAAAGGAAAACAAUCUCUGAACAUUGUGGGAGGGACAAGCAGAGGGGAGCAAGAGCAGACCCAAAGAGCACUGCCUUGAAACCUCGGAACCUAUACCAGCAGAAUGGACAUGAGGAAAAAAUCAGUAUGAAGGAAGAAAGCAAGGAUUUUCUGGAAUUAUAGAAAGAAGAACAGAAGAUCAAGUGAGGAGGAACUUGAUUUCCCUGCAGGAGGGACCCAGCUUAGAUCUGCAAUGGAAACCUGGAAGCAACCUGGGAAGACUUGAGGUUAAUCAUGGAGCACUGGAGAAAAUUUCCACAGGCAACAACGGAACACAAAGUACCUGGAUUUUCCUCCAAGGAUCGGCAGUUACACAUUUAUAGACCCUCCAGGAAUCUGACCUCAUGGCUCCAGUCUCCCACUCACUCUGACCUAACACAGAUUCAACUGUGGAAACUCAGUAUAGAAUAGAGAUGAAGGCAGAAGUUCUCUGUUUGAAGUAAAUUAAGACCCCAAGAACCUUGU